rnacentral:lncRNA from 1 species
ACAAUUAGUUUGGUCCAGAAUUAAAAAGUAGUCAACCUGUAUUUGAGUGCGACGGGGGUGUUUUCUUUCCAAUGAUUUUAUAUUUGGGCUAAAUUUUUGGAUAUGAAUUUGCUAGCUUAAUAUGACAAGAUAUUUCGGCUGUUAUUUCAGCUAAGGCCGCCUUAAGCCUCUUUGUAUUAAUCCCUCCUAUUGGAGAGUAAAUCCUUUCUAUAUCAAUCAACUAGUUCUUUCAAAAAAAAUUUUUUAAUGAAUUUUGUCUAUAUGAACAACAUAUGAAUCAUUUAACAAUAUUUAAGGCCCAAAAAAACUUUUAGUAAAUAAGAAACACAAUGGUAAAAACCUCAUUUUCCAUCAAUUAGAAUAAAUUAUGCUC